UGCAAGUCGGGCGGUAGCACAGAGAGCUUGCUCUCGGGUGACGAGCGGCGGACGGGUGAGUAAUGUCUGGGAAACUGCCUGAUGGAGGGGGAUAACUACUGGAAACGGUAGCUAAUACCGCAUAAUGUCGCAAGACCAAAGUGGGGGACCUUCGGGCCUCAUGCCAUCAGAUGUGCCCAGAUGGGAUUAGCUAGUAGGUGGGGUAAUGGCUCACCUAGGCGACGAUCCCUAGCUGGUCUGAGAGGAUGACCAGCCACACUGGAACUGAGACACGGUCCAGACUCCUACGGGAGGCAGCAGUGGGGAAUAUUGCACAAUGGGCGCAAGCCUGAUGCAGCCAUGCCGCGUGUAUGAAGAAGGCCUUCGGGUUGUAAAGUACUUUCAGCGAGGAGGAAGGCAUUAAGGUUAAUAACCUUAGUGAUUGACGUUACUCGCAGAAGAAGCACCGGCUAACUCCGUGCCAGCAGCCGCGGUAAUACGGAGGGUGCAAGCGUUAAUCGGAAUUACUGGGCGUAAAGCGCACGCAGGCGGUCUGUUAAGUCAGAUGUGAAAUCCCCGGGCUCAACCUGGGAACUGCAUUUGAAACUGGCAGGCUUGAGUCUUGUAGAGGGGGGUAGAAUUCCAGGUGUAGCGGUGAAAUGCGUAGAGAUCUGGAGGAAUACCGGUGGCGAAGGCGGCCCCCUGGACAAAGACUGACGCUCAGGUGCGAAAGCGUGGGGGAGCAAACAGGAUUAGAUACCCUGGUAGUCCACGCUGUAAACGAUGUCGACUUGGAGGUUGUUCCCUUGAGGAGUGGCUUCCGGAGCUAACGCG
rnacentral:rRNA from 1 species